GACGAACGCUGGCGGCGUGCUUAACACAUGCAAGUCGAACGGAAAGGCCCUGCUGGUGUGGGGUGCUCGAGUGGCGAACGGGUGAGUAACACGUGAGUAACCUGCCCUUGACUUUGGGAUAACUUCAGGAAACUGGGGCUAAUACCGGAUAGGAGCUCCUGCUGCAUGGUGGGGGUUGGAAAGUUUCGGCGGGUGGGGAUGGACUCGCGGCUUAUCAGCUUGUUGGUGGGGUAGUGGCUUACCAAGGCUUUGACGGGUAGCCGGCCUGUGAGGGUGACCGGGCCCAUUGGGACUGAGAUACGGCCCAGAGUCCUACGGGAGGCAGCAGUGGGGAAUAUUGCACAAUGGGCGGAAGCCUGAUGCAGCAACGCCGCGUGCGGGAUGACGGCCUUCGGGUUGUAAACCGCCUUCGCCUGUGACGAAGCGUGAGUGACGGUAAUGGGUAAAGAAGCACCGGCUAACUACGUG
rnacentral:rRNA from 1 species